rnacentral:rRNA from 1 species
AAUAUUGCCCAAUGGGGGAAACCCUGAGGCAGCAACGCCGCGUGGAGGAAGAAGGUCUUUGGAUUGUAAACUCCUUUUCUGGGGGAAGAGCAAGGACGGUACCCCAGGAAUAAGUCACGGCUAACUACGUGCCAGCAGCCGCGGUAAUACGUAGGUGGCGAGCGUUGUCCGGAAUUAUUGGGCGUAAAGCGCGCGCAGGCGGUUUCUUAAGUCUGGUGUGAAAGCCCGCAGCUCAACUGCGGAGGGCCACUGGAAACUGGGAAGCUUGAGUGUAGGAGAGGAGAGCGGAAUUCCACGUGUAGCGGUGAAAUGCGUAGAUAUGUGGAGGAACACCCGUGGCGAAAGCGGCUCUCUGGCCUAUAACUGACGCUGAGGCGCGAAAGCGUGGGGAGCGAACAGG